ACUCAUCUCCUGGAAACUGCUGGUUCAGAUGUUAGAUUAGCUCAUUUAAAUAUAAGUGAAAUUUUUAAUAAGUUGUUCCAGAGAAAGUUCAGUGGAAGAACAAGGGAGGAACUGUAGCUGCGAGAAUACUGCAGGUAGAUAAUAAUGAAGCUGAAGAUGAAGGCAGGGACUGAAAGCAAGAGCAGAGCCUGUGUACAGCCAACAGAGCAGCGUGCAAGGAAAUGCACGCACUUCAGAAAAAGGACAGGGAACAAGAUCCCCAAACUCGCUUCUUCUGCAUGUCAAGAAGGAUUUCCCUGAAAUCACAACUAAGUGGAACUGAAUGCUCUCCACAGCCAUCCAGGCACA